CAGCAGCCGCGGUAAUACGAAGGGUGCAAGCGUUACUCGGAAUUACUGGGCGUAAAGCGCACGCAGGCGGUCUGACAAGUCAGAUGUGAAAUCCCCGGGCUUAACCUGGGAACUGCAUUUGAAACUGUCAGGCUGGAGUCUUGUAGAGGGGGGUGGAAUUCCAGGUGUAGCGGUGAAAUGCGUAGAGAUCUGGAGGAAUACCGGUGGCGAAGGCGGCCCCCUGGACAAAGACUGACGCUCAGGUGCGAAAGCGUGGGGAGCAAACAGGAUUAGAUACCCCGGUAGUCCCUGUCUCUUAUAC
rnacentral:rRNA from 1 species